CUUGAAUUCCUGACCCCGUGAUCCACCUGCUUCAGCCUCCCAAAGUGCUGGAAUUACAGGCCUGAGCCACUGUGCCUGGCCUCUAAUUUUCUACUAUAAAUAAGGAAAAAUGAAAACAUUUAUUUUUUAAAGUGUGGUGAGAAUCAGAAAGGCAGAGAUCAAAGACUGUAAAUAGGACUGAGCCAAUCUAGAGAAACGUUGUGUAGGAAGCAGCGUGAAGGAGGAUGAGGGUGUCAGGGCAGGGGAACACAUGCCUGACAUUCACAGGGCCAGUUCCUUGACUCCUGCACCAUGGUCACUGCCAUUCUGUCUACACCUCUAGCAUGGCCCUCCAGAAUGAACUGCAAGCUUGGAUGAGGCUCUGGAGAGCACUUACAUCCAUUGUUUAAGCUCCAAGAGGCUCGGAUUCCAUGAACUUUGCCAAUGAGAAGGUUGAAAAAUUGGAGUAGCGGAGCCCUGACAGUUCCCAGACCCUCUCACAUAAUCUCUCAAGGAAUCCAGCUUAAUGCAUCAGCCCACUGCAGACAAAAUAACAUAAAACAGAAAAGGGAUCCAGAACCAGGCUCCCAAGAGUCUGACCACACAGCCAGCAGGAGGUCAGAGGUGAGGGGCAGCCUGGGUGGGGGAAGGGAAGGGCCUGCAUUCCUUUCUCCCUGCAGGGUGCAGGGCUUCUCAGGUAUUCUCUAAUUAAGAUGGGAAGCAGAAGCAGGGGCCCUCUGGAAUGUAAAGAGCAGAUAAGACCAGGCACCCUCCUCCCCCAGGAAAGCUUCCAUUUUCCUUCUUUUAGGAUGGACACUGCAUUCUUUCCCUGCUGGCUCCCCAGCAGGGGUUUGGCUCCCCAGUUCCUUCCAUCCCCCCUCCCUCAGCCCUUGUUUCUGCCGUUGGGUGUCUCUGCAUCCCUUAUGGCUUCCUCAUCUGGUACCAG
rnacentral:lncRNA from 13 species